GGGGAGUUGGCCGAGUGGUCUAAGGCGGUGGCCUUAAGUUUAAACUUAGGCUAUCCACUACGUAAGUGCGUGGGUUCGAACCCCACACUCCCCA
rfam:Tulasnella calospora MTT 4182 unplaced genomic scaffold scaffold_144, whole genome shotgun sequence.